rnacentral:rRNA from 1 species
GAUGAACGCUGGCGGCGUGCUUAACACAUGCAAGUCGAACGGUGAACACGGAGCUUGCUCUGUGGGAUCAGUGGCGAACGGGUGAGUAACACGUGAGCAACCUGCCCCUGACUCUGGGAUAAGCGCCGGAAACGGCGUCUAAUACUGGAUAUGUGACGUGAUCGCAUGGUCUGCGUCUGGAAAGAAUUUCGGUUGGGGAUGGGCUCGCGGCCUAUCAGCUUGUUGGUGAGGUAAUGGCUCACCAAGGCGUCGACGGGUAGCCGGCCUGAGGGGGUGACCGGCGACACUGGGACUGAGACACGGACCAGACUCCUACGGGAGGCAGCAGUGGGGAAUAUUGCACAAUGGGCGCAAGCCUGAUGCAGCAACGCCGCGUGAGGGAUGACGGCCUUCGGGUUGUAAACCUCUUUUAGCAGGGAAGAAGCGAAAGUGACGGUACCUGCAGAAAAAGCGACGGCUAACUACGUG